rnacentral:tRNA from 1 species
AAGUCUGAGAUGAUAAAGAGUCUGCCUGAAAUGCAGGAGACCCAGGUUCAAUUCCUGAGU